AAUCAUAUAGCAUAUACUAUCUGUUUUAAAUGACUGUAAAUAUAUUUAUUCCUGUGGAGCAGUGUUUUUCGGUCAGUUUUACAAUAGUAAAUCCUAGACUGAAUCAAAGGAAAGGGACUUAAAUUUUGUGGGUUAGGAUUAUGAAAGGGAUUUGUCAUGUUGAGCCUAGUAGCUACUUUUUUGUACAAUAUCCCUGAGUAAAGCUGUCAAUGUGACAAUGGUUUCGACUACUGGGGGAAAGGAACUAUGGUCACUGUAUCAUCAGCUCAACCAUCUGCGCCGCAGUCACUCUUAGCCAUGUCUCAGUGUAAUCCUGAUUCCGAUGGGUUCCUGACUAUCGGCUGCAUGGCAAGAGGUUUCUCGCCUGCUGACUCGCUUACUUUCGAAUGGACGGAUUCUAAUAAGCACCAGCUGAAUGAAUUCGUGCAGUAUCCAGCAAUCGGGCAAAAUGGAGACUACACCCAAAUCAGCCAUAUACGCCUGAAAAAUAGUGAUUGGGUGGCCAAAAAAGCUUACAAGUGUACAGCCAAAAAUUCUGCUGGCAUGGCAGAAGCUUUUCUUGAGAAACCAGAAAAGCACAUUAUUAGGCCCACAAUUACUCUGAUAAGUAGAGAGGAUGGUGACAAGAUCCUAUUGGAGUGCAAAUUAAAGGCCUAUUACCCUGACCAGCUUAUUGUACAAUGGUUUACGAAUGAGAAGCCGAUCAUACCUUCUUUGCCUGAUGAAAAGUUUCAGAACAAUGAAAAAGGACAGAAAACCUUCACUCGUAUAAGUCAUCAGAUUAUUACUACUCAAAAUAAAAGCACACAGUAUACCUGUCAAGCCACCUUCAGCUCUGUGGAAAUCCUCAAGCAAACAUAUAAUGUGUGCGAAGCAUAUUCUCUGUCAAAAUUUUUGAUGCAUGUAAAGAAACCCCACCUCAGAGACAUUAUGAAGGAGAGUGAAGUUACAACUUCUUGUAUUGUUGAAGCACCAUACAACACUGAAGUCUCAUGGUUGAUAGAUGGAAUAAGUACAAAAGCCACUAGUGAAAGCAAACCUGUCCUACCCCAUAUCAGAAUGAAGCCAAUUGUGAGCAACCUGACUUUACCCACAGAAACAUGGUUGAAACUUAAGACCCUUGUUUGUACAGCUAAACAUGUCUGUUUCCAAAAAGAGGAGCAUGUUAUUGAAGCCAAUGACAUAAAGAAAGUUCCUGUUGUAGAAAUCAGGAGGCCUUUCACAGAAUCAACAGAGGCAGGCAGUGCUGUGCUGGAGUGUGUUGUAAGAGAUCUCCCUUCUGGUGAGGCCUGUGUCAUCUUCCAGGCAAAUGGUGCAGAUAUCUCAGAAGUCAAUUAUUUUGAUUUGACCCCUUCUGAAAGCAUUCAUUCCCUGGCCACACAAUUCACAAUACCUAGUGAGCACCACAAGAAAGAAAACACCUUUACCUGUAAAGUUCACACAAGUUCGAUCAACCACUGGGUAUCAAAACACACUGGAAACCUUUUUGAUGAUCCUACUAUAGAGCUCUUGGUUGUUCCUAGUGUGGGUCAGUCUUGUUCACAGCCUAAGAAACUAGUGUGUACUGGGGAAGGAUUCAAGCCAAAGAUCAGAUGGCUCUCAAAGUCUCAAGAGAAAACUGACACAGUUGUAGAUUUCACAAUAAGGAAAGAUGGACGUGUGAAAGUGUACAGUGAGAUAUUGGUGCUACAGCAAGAGUGGAGUCAAGGGGUGGCUUACACCUGUGAAAUUGUUGACCGGCACAUUGUGAAAACUGCUAAUACCAGUAUUUGUUCAGUGACUGCACAUUCCAGUCAGCUGGCAGAUGUCUACUUACUGGGUCCUUCCCUCAGUGAUGUGAAAAAUGGGACAGAUGUGUCUUUGACCUGUUUGGUUAUUGGACAAGGUGUCAAUUUCUCCAUCGAAUGGAAAUUGGAUGGAAAUGUUUCCAAUUUGCGUGAUUACACACAACGUCCUGAAGAUCAUGCAAAUGGCACUCAAAGCAUGCAAAGUAUUUUGAAGGUUCCAGUCAGAAUAUGGCAUUUGUACACUCUUUUUACCUGUCAAGUUAAACACUUGUGCUCUGGCAACCUACAGCAGCAGAACAUCUCAAAAACCAGAGACCCCAAAAAACCCACUGUCAGAAUCCUGAGACCCUCUGACAGUGAUCUCUCUGGAUCCCAAGAUGUUAGUCUUCUAUGCUUCAUCACUGGUUUCUUCCCAUCUGAUAUCUCUGUGCAUUGGCAACUAAAUGGGACCCAACUGGAUGUGUCUCGCUUUACUAACAGUCCUGUGGUUGCUCACACUGCAAGAUAUUAUUCAAUGCACAGUGCCCUAAAACUGCCUGCAUCACAGUGGAUGGAGGGCAAAUACUCCUGUGUUGUUUCUCAUGAGUCAUCCAAUGAUUCAAUUAUUGCCACUUUGGAAAACUUGUAUGCUUCAUUGAUCCACUCUGCUCCAUCUGCACAGCUGCUGCAGGGCUCUAAUAAGCUGGUGUGUCUGGCAUUUGGCUUCAGCCCAUCUGCUAUCAACAUCACAUGGCUGCUGGGCAUGACUGAGCUGCCUGACUAUAGGCUCACCAGCCCUGCAAAAGGCCCUACAAAAGGCCCUGAUGGAAAAUUUAGCAUCCAAAGUCACCUGGAACUCUUACCUUCAGACUGGGCACCUGGAGAGGUGUAUUCAUGCAGAGUCACUCAUAUUGCUGAUACGCUGUUGCUUAACAUCUCAAAACCAGAAAUAUUCAAAGAGGCUAUAUUUAUUAAUGAGAACAAACAUGAUGAUAUUGCACAGGACAGUGUUGAAGAGUCCUGGAAUAUGGCCUGUGUCUUCCUCAUCCUCUUCCUCUUUUCCCUCCUUUAUGGGAGCACAGUGACUUUGAUCAAAGUGAAUCCUGCAUGAGCCUGAAUGAGGAACAGUGUAAUUUUGUGGAUUCUUUAGCUUUUUUAAUCAUUAUUAUUUUUAAGUUUGUUUAAAGUUGUUUUGCUGGCUUUUGAUUCAUUGUGUCAUUAUGCAUGAACAUGAGUAGGUGAACAUUUAUCUUUGUUUGGCCUUGUUUAGUACUUUUAUGAAAAAUGACAUAUAUGGUAAAAUGUUACAAUGGAAGACAAUCUGCAUUUCUAAUAAAAUUUUAA